AUACUUACCUGGCAAGGGAGACACCGUGAUCAAGAAGGCGGUUCACCCAGGGCGAGGCUCAGCCAUUGCACUCCGGCUGUGCUGACCCCUGCGAAUUUCCCAAAUGUGGAAAUCUCGAUUGCAUAAUUUCUGGUAGUGGGGGACUGCGUUCGCGCUCUCCCCUG
ensembl:snRNA U1 U1 spliceosomal RNA